UUUUGCAAAUGGGUGCGUUUUCUUUUCCUGGUUUAUGACUGUUAAGCACAUGGAUUAAGUUUCUAAGUCCGUUUUCUUUGGCGCGUGCAGGGGAUAUUGAGGGUGAGUUGUUCCACAAAUGAGCCAUUGAAGGUGAUGAUAUCAGGUGCACCGGCAUAUGGCAAAGGCUCUCAGUGUGAACUAAUUGUUAAGAAAUUUGGAUCGGUACACAUCUCAACUGGAGAUCUUCUAAGAGCUGAAGUAUCUGCGGGGACAGAAAUUGGCAAUAAAGCAAAAGAAUUAGUGAAUGCUGCUCGUCUGGUUCCUGAUGAAAUUGUGACAGCUGUACUAUUUCCUCCAUGAACUUUAUUUACUAGCUUCUACUUUGUUAUCAUUUCCUUUCUCAGGUACGUAAGGAAUGAAUUGUUUCACUUUGUAGAUACUGACAUCCCUAUUAUCAUAUGAUGAUGCAAAGGAAACAUGGUGGCUUCUAGAUGGCUAUCCGCAUAGUUCUGCCCACGCAGAAGUCUUGAGAAAUUGAAUGUCAGGCCAGUUAUCUAUGCCGUAUUGGAUGUACAUAAAUUGAAUAAUAAUGCUAUCUUUGCUAAUGAUUAUGUCAGACGGUGAUAGUGCUCAGCUUCCAAUGAGGUUAUUAGGAAUUCAUUUACUCCAAUCAUUGGUGAAUAAUCCAAUAUUUUCACAGGAAACAAAAUUUCUGUACAUGUUCAUCAAAAUGCAUGUACGUUUCUGUGCUAUAAAAACUGACAUAAAACCUACUAGGAUAAUUCCAAAAUUCUAUGUUGUAUUUGAACCUUCUGUAGUUGGUUUUUCUAUGAAUCACAUGCUUUGAAUGCCAACAUUGGUUUUACAUCUGUGGUUUUUCUCUUAAAUGUUUCUCCUAAUGUAGUGGAUGUUUUAAAUGUUGAACGCUCUAAUGAAUGGAGAAGGUUCUCUGCAAUAAUGCCUUGGUUUGCAUUAAACAUUUUCUAACUCAAACUCUGCGUGACCUUGAUAUUCAUGAAAUAUAUCUUUUAACACUCAGGUUCCUGAUGGAAUUCUGUUUGACAGAUGUGUUGGUAGAAGGCUAGACCCAGUGACAAGAAAGAUUUACCACGUGAAAAAUCCCCCCCAAGAGACUGAACUUAAAGCAAAACUUAUAACCUAUCCAGAUGACACUGAAGAAAAGGAAUGCUCUCUGUCACUGUUGUUCUUUGCUCAUCGUUCUACUGUGAUAUGCACUAUUGAGAGUUGAGAAAUACCUUUCUGUUUAAUUGUUUGUGCCUAAGAUCGUAUGCAUUUGUAUAUGCUCUAUAGCAGCGUACCAAGAGAUUUUUUUCCCCUUCUAACUACAGAAAAAAGAAGCUUGUGUCUGUAAGAAGCACUUUACGCAAGUUUUGUAUCUGUUUGGAAACUUGAACGUUUUUUUUUUUCAUCUAUAAAGUAAUAUGCCAUGCGUAUUUGGUACUUUUCAACUUGUCUGUAGGUGAAGGCAUGUCUUGAAAUAUACAAGAAAAAUGCUAAAUCAAUCCUAUCCACAUACUCAAACAUUAUGGUCAAGAUUGAUGGAAACCACCUAAAAGAAGUGGUCUUCCAAGAAAUAGGCUCUUUCCUGUCUCAAGUGCAGAAAGAUAAAGCAAAAUUGGUCUAACCUGGCAAGUGUUUUCAAGUUUUGAAGUUCUUAUACAAGUUUGCUCAAGGUUUAUAUCUUUGAUAUAUGAUCGAUAUAAUUAUCUUCUUUGCUGGCUGUCACAGACUACUCUAGAAGUGAAAAUAUUCACAGAAAUUGAUUUGAUCCUUUUGAUGGAUGCUUUGUUUCAUCUUGUGUGAAACGUUAGUGGUUGGAAACAUUAAGAUAGAUUAAUUCUUUUUGCAAUCACAUAUCUUUUAUUUCAAUUUAUGAAACUGAUUCAGCCCCACUUCAGCCAGUAAUAUGAUAAUAAGAUCUUCUUAUGUGUGAAGGGAAGUAUAGUAGUAUUCACGAGGAUCGUCUGACUUUCCCCCUCAAGUUACGACCUUUUAUGUUGUCUGGCAGCCUAAAUAAUACAACUUUUAAGUAUUGAA